AUAAUAAUCUAGCUGCCAAAGACAGCAGGAGGCUAUAUGCCUUAAAGGGUUCAUUCCCUUCCUGCCGAGGUUUCGCAAAACGAUUUGGUUUUUGUGUGUCCUCACGUCUUUUGGCGUGAGGACAUUUUUUAUUU
rnacentral:sRNA from 1 species